AAAGGAGGACUCUCAUAAUGCAGCGAGAAAGAGAGAUAGUUUUGAUUUAGGCUUGUAAGAAACCACUCAAAUUAUCCUGAAAAUCCUAAGAAGUAUGAAAGAUUUGCAUGCACUUUCUCUUCAAAUAUCCAGUAUUAUAAUACUGCUCUGAAUUCCAAUCCAUCGAUGCAACAUCACAUUUUCAAAGCACCAAUUGCUACAAUAAAUACUCCCACAAACAACAACACAACAGGCUUUGUGCGAUCUUGCGGUUUCUCCUUUCAUGCCCUCGGCUCGACUCUCUCCCACGCCGGCCAAAGGCAAACCCAAUCAAGCGCUCCUGAAUGCACCAAUUGUUGGGAGACUCGGGACAAUUUAGAGCAUACAAAAGAUCCAUGAGCGAGAUUCAUGUGGAAUAAAUAUGCAUUAGAUGUGAGCCGGCAGUCUAGCAGGGAGAGAAAAAUGACAGGCAGCCCUGUUUUUGCAGAUGAUUCAGUCGAGCAGAAAUGUGCUGCGCUCAAACAGGAUUCUUAUCUCCCAUCCGUGUCAGAGUCCAGGCGGCCCGUGUCAGAGCCUGACCGCGCUUGGACAAACAUCCCCGGGGCCUGACAUCACUGCAGACCUUCCUUUACUAUCUGCUGGCGGACACAGAGCUUCUGACCGCAUGACAUCGCAGGAUAAGGGAAGUUUGAUUUUCCUCUAAUACUGAAAUGGUGGUGCCGCAUUCUCUUGGAAAAUGUUGCUCUUGAAAGGAAACAUGUCCUCACAGUGUGCAAUUGCUGGAAGAGCAGGAGACUGAAAUCUGCAGCAGGGAGCCAAGGAUAAAAAAGACCUGCACACUGCAGUUGGAUGGCUGCAGAAAAACCUCUAUGUCUUAAGAGGUUUGGUGAAAGAGCUGAGGUUCCUCCAACUGACAGAGGAAGACCAGAAGAAAGCUCUUCUCGCAAUUUUGAUAUUUUUCCUGGAUUUUGGGUUUAGGCAACAUCUCAAUUUUUACUGAUUUACUUUGAAUUCUAACGUUAACUUACAUAAUUUAGAUUUAUUUCCUGGAUUUUGUGAUUACAUCUUACAAUUUUUACAUUUCUGCCACAGAAUAAAAAUAGUAAAGGUU